AAUUCGCAGCGAAACUUUGUGAGCGACCAAAGCGUCUUUGACGCUUUGGUCGCUCCUGGUGUGGACGUACAGUUACAAGUGACGUCAUUCAACAAACUAUUUAAAUACAAUUUUAAACCUGAAUAACGAACACAAUUAUUGAAUUACUAAUAUAAACAAAAAUGAAUUUCCUUAUGUCUUAUAAUAUGAAAAUAAUAUUUAAAUUACAGAAACCUUUUAAUGAUGACAGUUACACUCCCACCAAAUCACACAAACCAGUAAUGUGGGAUUUCUCUAAACUAAAUAUUUUUGUCAAACUUUAAUAUACAAAUGAAAUAGUUCUGGUUUUAAAAUGAACAGCAUGUCAACCCUUCCUCAUGAAAUGUCAAGCAAACAUUAACACUCUAGUCUGCCUCAAGCAGAGUAACAACCUUAUGUAUUGGUCUCUCAAGAAACACCGUUUUAACUGUGGGUUUCCCCUUUUUGUCAAAUGUGGUGUUGCUAACCAACAAUCUUAGCUUUCUGACUUUACUGUCUAACCCUGGAUAGACUUCUGUGACACGGGCUAACUUCCACCCAUUGCGUGGUGCCAGAUCAUCUUGUACAGGUGUGCCCAAAUUCUUCCCUCUGGAGGGCCAAAAUUUAAUCGGGGGGAGGCUCGUGGGCCAAAAUUGUAAUUUUUCAGUAUAUUAGGUUAAAUAUGGGUAUAAAUAGCAUGCGUGUGCAAAAUCAACACUAUCACAAGGUCAUUUUGAAAAAUGAAUGACAAUGUUUAUUGUGCUUCACAUUAAUGUUCAAAAAAUAAUAAAUAAAUCAUAAAAUCUAUCUUCUUUAAAUUAGAAAAAUAAUUGAAUAUAAACAAAUAUUAUUGACAAUGCCAACGACAUCCUACAUCACGUUCCUUAGGACGAUAUUCUUAGCGCACAGUUGCUCCUGAUGCAAAAUGCAAUGAUAUUUAAAAAUCGAGCCACCACACUCACGGACUUUGUCCGACACAAGUGCAGUUAGACCUUCUCUCUUACCGACCAUGGCCGGAGCUCCAUCAGUCGUGAUGCCAGAUAGGUUUUCCCACUUCAAACCAUUCUUGUCCAUAACUUGCUCCACUGCCCUAAAAAUAUCGAUACCUCUUGUCGUCCCUUUCAGUGUUUCAAGGCCCGCUAGUUCUUGGCACACUUCAAAGUCCUCAUUGACGCCUCGCAAAAACACCAGCAACUGUGCUGAGUCCGAUAUGUCGGUGCUUUCAUCGCAUGCGAUGGAGAAGGCAGAAAACCGACCUGCUCUUUGGACUAUCUGGCCCCGAACGUCUUCGGCCAUGUCCUCAAUACGGCGGGUCACCGUGUUCCGUGACAGGCUUAUUUGAGAAAAGGCCCGCUUCUGAGUUGGACACACAGCUUCAGCAGCAACUGUCAGACACUCUUUUACAAAAUCACCCGCAGCAAAAGCGUGUCCACUUCUGACAAUGAUGUUGCUAAUGCGAUAACUUGCAAGGGUGGCAUUUUCUUGUGCAGUGGAUGGCUGAAGUAAAGUUUGCUGCUGUGUUUCUAGCUUCAUUAGCAAGUUUGCCACCUUUACCUUUCGGUGCUCGCCUGUGUAUUUGCGAACUGGUGAGAAUGCUUAGUUUCAUAGUGACGACGAAUGUUGUACUCCUUUAAAACAGCGACCUUCUGCUUAUAUACCAGGCAUAUUGCGUUGGAAUCGACCUCGGUAAAUAAAUAAUCAUGUUCCCAACAUUUUUUUAAUUUGUGUUUGUCUGUGUGCCACUGCCGCUCCAUCCUUGCGUCUCACUUACUCGCUGUCACGUGACUUCGGAUUGGAGCGCAAGAGGAUAGGAGCUCAACAGCGCCACCCUACCAUCAAUGUAUCACAAUGUUAUUCUAUGGUCAGGAAUGGAAGUGCACCAAUCAAUAAUAUUCAAUGAGUGCGAGCGCUGAUGGUGGAAACCAAUAAUAUGUACAGUGGGUAAGGCGCGGGCCAAAUAAAAUCUUCUGCUUACAUACCAGGCAUAUUGCGUUGGAAUCGACCUCGGUAAAUAAAUAAUGAUGUUCCCAACAUUUUUUGAAUUUGCGUUUGUCUGUGUGCCACUGCCGCUCCAUCCUUGCGUCUCACUUACUCGCUGUCACGUGACUUCGGAUUGGAGCGCAAGAGGAUAGGAGCUCAACAGCGCCACCCUACAAUCAAUGUAUCACAAUGUUAUUCUAUGGUCAGGAAUGGAAGUGCACCAAUCAAUAAUAUUCAAUGAGUGCGAGCGCUGAUGGUGGAAACCAAUAAUAUAUACAGUGGGUAAGGCGCGGGCCAAAUAAAAUCAGUCGCGGGCCAAGUUUGGCCCGCGGGCCCCAAAUGGGGCUGCCCUGAUCUUGUAGAAGGACAAUGUCGUUGACCUUUGAGUCUCUUCUCUUCUUUUGCCAUUUUUGUCUUGGUUGCAAGCUCAAUAGGUAUUCUUUCUUCCAACGAACCCAAAACUCAUUGGCCAAAUACUGGACUCGACGCCACCUCUUCUGAAGAUAAAGAUCUUCUUUGAUAAAUUGUCCAGGUGGGGGUAGAAUAACAGUUGGCUUCAUGGUAAGGAUAUGGUUUGGGGUUAAAGGUUCGGGUCCGGGUCCCAUUUUCUGUUCUUCAGUACGCCUUCUGUACUUUCUGCACUUAACACAUCUGAAUAGGUGUGAUGAGACUGCACUGGAACAUCCAAUGAUCCACCAUCAUUAGCUCGCAGUUCGUUUAUCGUCAUUCCACGUCCUUGAUGAUAAACCUUCUCAUGAAAGUGCUUGAUGAGUAAAGUAUAGCCGGAUGCUUCACGUGUGGAUGUAACGUGGCUUGACUGAGACGUCCUCCCACCCUUAGAAUACCUUCUGCAUCAAAGAAUGGACUCAACUUGUACAGCUUACUGUCUUUGGACAUGAGAACUUCUCCCUUUGCUUCCAAGCGGUUUAUCUCAUCUGAGAAUGCUUGUUCUUGAACUAGUUUGACGAUUGUUUGUUCUGCUUCUUCCCUUUCUUCUAGGCUUGUGCUUUUGUUCGUUCUUUGCUUCAGACCUUUGUGUUCCUUGACUUUCCGCUUCAAUCUGGCAACUGCUCUUACUGCUCUUUUCCAAUCAGAGAACUUCUGUAGGGAAUCCAAUAAUGAUCUGUCUUCUUUUGUCUGAGUGUUACACACUAGAGCCUUGCGAAGUUCAGGAUCGUCUUCCUUUAUCUCUUUUACCUUGAACGGCAAUGGCAUCUCAUAAUGACCAGUGUCAUUCUGUGUGAUGGUUUUGCUCAACUUCGACAGAAAUUUGAGAUCUUCUUGGGAGACAGGAUCCUCUUCUUGUGUUCUCUCUGAGAAGUCUGUUUCUAAGACUCUGAUGAUGUCUGAAGGAGAAGUUUCCUUGACUUUGGUACGGCUCACAUAAUGCACUUCAGUUCGGAGGUUGACCGAGGGCUCCAAAGUUGGUGUUACUUCUCUCACUAUUAUGUGAUGGCUCACUCCAAUGUUGUCACCGUAGUCCACAUAGAGAUUCCCGUGGCCAAUAAUGCUCCAUCCAAGGUCUGUACGCUGUGCGUAAGGAUGGUUAUCCUUGCCAGGAACAACUUCCCUUGGAAGUAAGGCUUGUGAGCAGUUGUACCCAAUGAGCAAACCUACUUCACAGUCUUGCAGAGGUGCAAUCUCUCCUUGAAGGUGCUCUAAAUGGGACCAGGACUUGGCGGUUUCAUCAGUUGGUAUGUGAGUUCUGUUGGCUGGAAUAAAUUCCCGGGUGUAGACUGGUGGUAGGGCAAUCUUCUUACCAGAGAAAAACCCUCGAACUUGGAGGUUGUUCACUUUUUGAGAGCUUACUACUGUUGUUUUUGAGCUCAUUGUAGAAAGCUUCAGAUUGACUUGUUCUUUGGUUACUUCCAAUGCUUCCACUACUUCACUCAAGGCGAAGGUUGUGUCGCUUUGCGAAUCCAACAGAGCAUAUACAAGGAUUUCUCUUGCUGGUUGAGUUGUUGCUGAAAGCCAAACAGGAAUUAUUGCCGCUGUUUGCAUGUUCGGUUCAUGAAAUAGCACUCUGUUGGCAGUAGCAGCUGUGAAUACCCCUUGGUGUUGUGUUGAUUGAGCACAUUCAUUGUUCCUCUCUUGACUUGGUCUGGGCUUUUCUUUACUUGGAUUUCUUUCAAUGCGUGGUUGUGUUUGUUGCUCUUUAGAUCGCUCCUCAUGCAGACAGGUUGGAUGUCGCUUGGAGCACACGUCGCAAACACUCCUACUGUUGCAGCUCUUUGAGUGGUGACCUAACUUCAGACAACCAAAGCACAGUUUUUCAGCUUGAAUAAAUGUGAUUCGAUCUGAAAUUGGUUUAUCCCUGAAGUUCCUGCAUUUGUGCAAAGUAUGUCCGUUCUUCUUACAGAAAAGACACAUCAUGCUGACAAACCCUUCAUUGGAACUUGUGGUCAGUGUCUUUGCUCCGACACUGUGUUGUCUUUGGGACUUUUCAGGCUCCGCUUGUUUCAGUGACUGCAGUGAAGUAACAGGGUUACAGGCAAUUUUUACUUCCCUUGUCAGAAAUUUUACGAACUGGCUGAAUGAAGGGAAUUGGUUUCUGUCCUCUUCUUCAUCAACAACCUUCCGGUUCCAUCCUGCUAUUAACCAAUCCGGUAACUUUGACAGAAUUCUCCUGUUUUCAUUACAGUCAUUCAAUAUUUCCAGUGCUUUUAUAUGGACCAUGGCAGCCUCGCAACUGCGUAGAAAAUCUACAAACUCUCUGAGUUCAAAGUUGUCUUUAGAUCCUAUCUUGGGCCAUGCUUGUAGCUUGUCUCUGUAAGCCAUUGCAACUGUGAAUGGGUUUCCAUAUCGCUCUUCCAGAAUCUUCCAUGCACUAGCGUAGGCCGACUCAGUUCCAAGUAGGAAAUAGCCAUCGAUUGCUUUCUUAGCUAGUCCACUUACAUACUGACGGAGGUAGUAUAUUUUCUCCUUAUCUUCAAUGUUCUUGUGGCCAAUAAGUGUUUGAAAUGAAAGUUUCCAGUCGUUGUACUUCAGUGGAUCUCCGCUGAAUAUUGAAGGUUCAGGGAUGGGAACUCUGUUAGCGCUCAGAGCAUCUGCUAACACCUUGACAAGCUCUGCUGUACUUUCAUUUGAGCCGGUACUCGCACUUUGUAUGGGAGACUUUUGCAUGGACAGACGAUUUGAAGGUGGAAUAACUGGGUUGUCUGCUACCAGUUGCUGUCCCAAUGUGUCCAUUUGCUCUUCUUCUGCGGCCCUUGGUUGAUCAUACACCUGCAUUCUGGCUCUUGCUGCAUUGAGAUUCUUGACUGCCUCCAACUUCUGCACUUUUCUCCUCUUUUCUUCCAGAGCUCUUAGAAGAACUCCAUGCUCCUCUUCUAGCUGAGCUUUGAUUUUUACUUCCUCUGCCUCUCGCUCUAAGCUGCGCUUAACAAUUGCUGCCUGUUCAUCAGAUAUCUUCCUUUUAACUUCUGCUUCUAGACGCUGUAUUUCCUGCUGUUCCUUUUCUUGUUGUUCUAACACUUUCAGAACAGCUUCGCUUGCGGCAGCCUCUGCGGCAGCUUCUUGGCGUUUUAUAGAGGAGCUGGAGGAGUUGAUUGAGGGAACUUUUAACUCAGUGGUGAAAGAACCUGACUUAGAGGAGCUUGGGCCAAAGAGAGAGCCUGCUUCUGGCCAUUUGACUUCUUCUGCUUCCUUGGCUUCUCCAUCGAGUCGGCUUGAGGCUUUGCUUACAAUAAAGUUGGAGAUCUCUACACACAGAUCCACUUUUCUGCGCGUGUCUUGAUCCGGAGUUGAGACAUUGCGCAGCUCAUCAUAAAUUUGCUGGACAUCUGCUGAAAAACCUGCGAUAUCACCAAUGAUAUCCUUGAGCAACUCUUCAGAUAGACGGUCCUUUAAUUGUGACAAUGACUUCUUGGCUAAUUUUGCUUGUGUUUUCCAUUUAUCAUAAGUGUAGUUAAAUUUUUGUUGAAGCCCUUUAAAUUUUUCUUCUUGCAUUUCUUUGCCUUUUUCUGUGAGAGAUCUGAUUCUUGAACUUUGUCUUAGCUUAUAAUGUCAGCUUGGCUCUGUCAUUGGUUAAAUCACUUAUUUAAGUUGACUCACUUGGCUCUGUCAUUGUUUAAAUCACUUAUUUAAGUUGACUCACUUUUGAAAAUAAAGCGUGAAUGUAAACAUCA